rnacentral:lncRNA from 1 species
AAGAUUCCCUCUUGAUCAGGUGGACAAGAAUUGUGUCCUGGUUUGUAGACCAUGAUUUGGAAAAGGGCUAACUCCCAAGAAGCAGAGAACUGGUUUCAUUGAGAGCCUCCACGAACAGUCUCAGGAUCUGGAUGGUUCAAUAGAGGAAUUUGAAGUGGAUUUUAAGAAGACAGACUGCUGGCUGAACUAAUUUGCACUUAAGUGGCUUCCUGUGACAGAGGAAGGAGGAGUGCAACCUCAUUACUGUCAGAACUUUAGGAUUCCUUGGAAAUCCUUCAACAUGCUCCUUAGGGAUGACGGAUACCUACUGGGUGGAGUCCUCUCCUUCUUGAGACAACUUUUCAACCAGAGUAGCGAUUGUAGAUGAAUUCCUAACCCCUGGUACCUGUGAAUGUGACUUUAUUUGGAAAUAGGAUCUUUGCAGAUGUAAUCAAGUUAAAAUGAGUGUCGGCCCUAAUCCAAUAACUGAUAUCCAUAUAAGAAGAGGGAUAUUUGGACUUAGACACAGAGGAGACACAGUGGGGAGAACACCAUGUGAAGAUGGAGACAGAAAUUGAAGUGAUGGAUCUAAAAGCCAAGGAAUACCAAAGAGGAAUGGCAAACACGAGAAGCUAAGAGAGAAGCAUGGAACAGAUUCUUACUCAGGGCCUCCAGAAGGAACCAACCUACUAACACCUGGAUUUCAGAAUUCUAGUCUCCAGAACUGUGAGAGAAUAAAUUUAUACCAUUUUAAGUGACUCGGUUUGUGGCAUUUUGUUAUGGCAGUCCUAGAAAACUAAAACAGUAGCUUUCCUUUGAUUUGUCUUAUGUCUGCAUAACAUGACACUUGCAGGAAGAAUUGACUUACUUGUGAAAUGUUUAGAAACCGUGACUCUCUUCCAUUGAUGGCGGUGGUAGGUGAGGAAAAGCAGUGGGGCUCUUUGCCUCUGAAUAAAACUCUUUUGUUAGAGUAGCAGUAUGUUCUAAGUAUUUUACAGUAUUUCUAGUAAUGUGUUUUUUCAUUUGAUAAAUUUUAAUUACUGUUCCCUGUCCUCGCUUCCAUGGUCCAUUCUCUGUACAGCUGGGACAAAUUACAAUUUCAAUGAUACUACGUUAUACUGUGCUCAAAACCACUCACCUUCACAGACACCCUAGCUAAUGGACCAAGGAAGUGCUUUGACUCUCCUUUCUUUCAAAUGAGUUCCUUUCCAGAAUAGUAUACUGCCUGGGAAGCUAAGCAGGAGCCAUUAUUCCCAGACUGUUCUGGGGCCGCUCAUCAAUCCCAAGAGGCCCAGCCAUGUUUUUUACUACAAGGUGCAUGAAGUUCUUAUGGAAAUAAAACCAGUAGGCCCACCUUCCACUCCUGCCCCUUAAGGCAUGCCUUGAAUACGUUUUUUCACAUAUUACUAGAAAUCACUGGAAAAAAAUUUAGGUAGUAUGCAAAAUUUUGUUUUAGACACCAUGAAUAAAGAUAAGUUGCUGUUUCGUUUGUAAGGAAAAAGCAGGCAGCAUUAUUGUAUAAUCUUAUUUAAGGGCAGUGUAUCAUUUCCAAAUCCAGGAAGUCAUAGUUUCCUACUGGUACUGGCUAAAAAGCAGUAGUUGAAUGGAUUAGUAGAGCUAAUUAGAUCCAUUUAAAAUUAUUGUUUUUACUCUUUUCAAUUAAGAGUAUAUUUAUUUUCUUAGUAAUAUUUCAACACAGCAAUUAUAGUUUAAAUAAACAAGUGAAAGAAUGCAGACACUUAUUCAAAAGAGAUGCUCAUAACAUUGUUUUAAAUUCUUAAAAUUUAUAGCUGUGUUCAGUGAAUUCCAGUGGGAUUUAGUGAGUUUAUUUCCUUUUUGGUUUUAAUUAGGAAACCCUACUGGAAUUGUGAAUAGCUGUACAAGCUAGAGGAAUGGGUAUGUUUUACUUGAUUAUAU